CUACGGGGUGCUGCAGUAGGGAAUAUUGCACAAUCGACGAAAGUCUGAUGCAGCAACGCCGCGUGUGCGAUGAAGGCCCUCGGGUUGUAAAGCACUUUUCUGAGGGAAGAGAAAGGACGGUACCUCAGGAAUAAGUCUCGGCUAACUACGUGCCAGCAGCCGCGGUAAUACGUAGGAGGCGAGCGUUAUCCGGAUUUAUUGGGCGUAAAGCGCGUGCAGGUGGUUUGGUAAGUUGGGUAUGAAAUCUUCUGGCUUAACUAGGAGAGGUUGCUCAAAACUGCCAGACUAGAGGACGGUAGAGGAAGGUGGAAUUCCCGGUGUAGUAGUGAAAUGCGUAGAUAUCGGGAGGAACACCAGUGGCGAAGGCGGCCUUCUGGGCCGUUCCUGACACUAAGACGCGAAAGCAUGGGUAGCAAACGGGAUUAGAUACCCCUGUAGUC
rnacentral:rRNA from 1 species